rnacentral:misc_RNA from 1 species
UGUCGCAACUGAUCGCCACCGGUGUUGCUGUUGAGUGCCAUAGGCUCACCUGUGCCAGGGGCGGCGGUGGUAUCAACUCCAACGCAGGUACACAUAUCCAUCACAUCUGCGAACUUCUUCAGACAGCGUUCAUCGCGUCCUGCUCUCCUCCCUCUCUUGACACCACCCCCCCCCUCCAUCCAGUCAUGUCCCGAUCAAGGCAACAACAGGCGGAGGAAGUGGCACUGCACCACUUCUUCAAAACGGAGCGCGUUAUCCGCCUGGAGUGCGAGCGGCGGGAGGCCAAGGCACGGCUCAAACUGAUCGACAUCAUGUCAGGUGAUCUGGACGAUCAGCUCCUAUGCGUGGCACAGUUUAAGAAGGAGUGGCUGCAGAGCCGGCGUGUGCUGGAGGAGGCCAGACAGGCCGUUGUGCAGGAAGAGGCCUCGAAACGCGCAUACGUGGAGGAGGAGUACGUGAGGGCGAUCAACAAGAUGAUCCGCCAUUAUCAUCCGCUUAGCUCUCGCGCGGUAUGAGAGCGAGAGAGCCGGCAGUCCGUAGCAGACAGAGAGCGGAGGGGCAGGGGGGAGGCGGUGGCCAAAGAAUAGAGGCAUGCGCAGCACCUCUAGCUCUUCUUUCUCUUAGACGUGCGUUCAGUAUCUCCGUAGCUGCAGCGGCUGCCACUACUGUUACUGUUUCGAAACGGCCCUGGAUCGGGGGCGGAGUGUAUCGGUCGCUUGCCGAUGCGCGUAAGGAUGCUCCCGCCUCCUUUUCUUCCACUACGGAGCCGCUCACAGGCACCCACACAGCGGUACAUGCAGGCCUAUCUAGAUGGGCUACACUGUCGCCAUCGACGUCCCAUUUCCGUCAGAGGCGCCGCCGCCCCAUACAUGACUCUCCUCAGCGCCCGUGUUUUUGCACGCGCUCGUACAUGCGCACGCGUGCGCCCCCGAUGGGGCGUGGGAGCACGAACAGCGUAUCGUUACCCUGACGGAGGCCUCCGCCCCCCUCGGCCUCCAUCUUUUCCAGAGCGAAUACGAGCGUGGAAGCGCUGCAUCGCGUGGACGGAGGCGGCCUCAGUGUUUUUGCCCUCUGUGUGUGUGUGGAGGGGGGAAGAGGGGGGAGCGUUCUCAAAGGUGAGUGUGCCAACACCGUCCUGCACCCCCUGCUGCUCACCCCCCCCCCCACACCCUGCCCUAACGCACACACUCGAACGAGAACGCACGCUUUUCUGCUUUCCUCGCUGCGAGCAAGUUGCACAGUACCUGACCCUCCCCAUCCGCCGUAUUUAGCGGCUGCCGAUGCGAUCACCGUUGAGGUGAGGUGCGAGACAAAAACGAAGCGCCACACACGCGACCCCGCCAUCCUUCCUGUUUCUGCGACUGACAGGCAGCCUCGAACAUGCACACCGACGUGCGGCACUGGGGAUGCGGCGAUGGCGGCGGGAGCGAGGCAGGCGGUGCCGCUGGUGGUCGUGUGGCCGCCCUCGAAACACGCAGGCGACCGCGGUGCUUCCUCUCUUUCGCUGAUGCUCGCCGCAUGUCGAUGAAUGUAUCAUGCGCGUGUCCCCGCGGCCUUUCCGGCGGUCCGCCUCUACACCCCUCCAACCUACCCCUCGCACACACACACACACACACACCACACCCACCCACCCUUGUUGUCCUUUGCUCCAUUGCGUAUGGUCUGCUCUCCCUCCAUCACACACGCACGCGCACAACGCCAG